UUAGAUUUUCAGAAAAUGUAGGACUAUCUUUCGUUUUUCCUCUCUUUUACUAUGAUGAUUUUCCUGCUGUGAAGCUUUUCUUGUAUAAAGCUCAAUUUCUCUCUGACCACGGAAGUAAACAUCCUGAUGCAUUCUUGUCAUGUGAAUGUUGAGAGCGUGUUCAUUUUUGAAAUCUCCUUUCUGACAGACCUAUUCCACAGGAUCAGCUGAGAUGUUAUUUCACUGGAUUAUUUAAUGGAUAGGCUUAUUGGGCAUAUAUUUGGAUAUCUCUGUAAUGAGCUUUUCAAAAAAUGAAGGACUACAUGUUGUACUGUGAUGAUGCUAAAAAAAAUGUAUUUUUCUGUAUGCAGUACUGACAGUCAUCAACAUGGAAGAUAAGUUUUGUUCCUAACCAUCUAUAAUCAAUUCUCUAUGAAGUUCAGACUGUCUGCCCUUCCUUUGGAAAUACACAGUUAGUCAACCAACAUAGAAACACACAAACUUGAAGGAUUCUCUAGUGAGGGCUUAUGGAAAUGAUCUAUGUCUACUCUUAGAAUGGUAAAAGACUAUCAGAUUAUGCAAAGACUAACAGAAUAUCCUCUCUUGGAACACUGAAACAAGAAAACCAAACUUAAGAGGAUGGUGGAUUUAAGAAGAACAUAGAUAAAUAUGAUUUCCAACGAAUUUAACCAGUACGAUCAUAGACUGUGGUUAACAGGAUGACAAAGAAAGGACCCAGGAUUGUAUCUUUCACUGUCAGACACUGACUAUGGAUAAAG